AGCUGGCUGGUUCCAUGAGGUGACUUCUGCCCAGUGCUCUGAUUGUCAUGGCAAAGAGAUUUCGCCAAGCGCGGGUAAACGGCGGGAGUAACUAUGACUCUCUUAAGGUAGCCAAAUGCCUCGUCAACCAAUUAUUGACGCGCAUGAAUGGAUCAACGAGAUUCCUGCUGUCCCUAGGUGCUGUCCGGUGAACCAACAGCCAAGGGAACGGGCUUGGGCGUGCCAGCGGGGAAAGAAGACCCUGUUGAGUUUGACUCUAGUUUGAUGCUGUGCAACGACAUGUGGGGUGUAGCAUAGGUGGGAGGCAAGCGCCAUCAUCCUUGUACCACCCACCACCACCACCGCACCACCACCACCACCACCGAAGUGUGCCAGGUGCGUGCGUGUGUGGGUGUGGGGUGUGCUGCUCUGCUGUCAGAAGAAGACGAAGAGGAGAGGAGAGGCGGUCACCCUGUCCUCAGACCGCCGCCUGUUGUCUGUGUGUGUGUGGCCCAUCAUCGAUCAUCGAUCAUCAUCUCAGAGAGGUUCGGUCCCAACACCACCACCACGGGAUGGAUGGUGCGAACCAGCAGUGAAAUACCACUACCUUCACCGUCGUUUUACUCAUCGAGUGGCUUGGGAACAGCGGCCCUUUGGACAUCGGCCUCCCGCAUGCGUGCAUCCCUGCCAGGGGACCAUCAUCCCAUGGUGUGGGCUGUGUGCCCUGUGGGGGUCGCGGCCUCAUCCUGCUUCGUGUGUCAAGUGUGGGCGUCCCCGGACAGCCGUCCCCGUGGCGGUCCUGUGCUGGGGGUCACCGCCUGCAUGACCCUAUGGGGGUUCUGCCCCAUCCCUCCGUUCGGAGCCUCGGGACAAUGAUCAGUUGGGGAGUUUGGCUGGGGCGGCACGCCUGUUACAGGACAACGCAGGCGUCCUGAAGCAUUGCUCAGAUGGAACAGAAAUCUUGCAUGGAGGAGCAGGCCAAAGGUGCUGCUGAUGCGGCGACUUCCAGUACAAGUCCAGAACGUGCAAGCGUGGCCUUGCGAUCCUUUGGUCAAGUGUGCGGGUUCCGGAUAUUGAAGCCAGAGGUGUCAGAAAAAUUACCACAGGGAUAACUGGCUUGUGGCUGCCAAGCGUUCAAAGCGACGUCGCUUUUUGAUCCUUCGAUGUCGGCUCUUCCUAGCUUCCCACCCGCAGCCGAGUGGAAGAGUUGGAUUGUUC
rnacentral:rRNA from 1 species